AUGUUUCUCUAUUAUUUGGUAUGAAUUAUUUUCCCAUUAUUUAUCCAAAAUAUUUAUAUGUUGAGAAGAUUUGCAUACCGAUCUCAAUUGCUAAUCUUUUGGCUAUAUAAUUUUGGCUGAGGUCUGGUUUGUAACACAUCAUAUUUUCAAAAAGUUGAGGAAAGAAAAGCCGAUGAGUCGAGGAAAAAAAUGGUAGCUUUCAUAAAUCAACUUAACUCAUGUUGGUUUACAUAGAUGCAUUUAUAAAAUUCAAGCUACACAAUAAAAUUCAAGCGGGAUAUUUUUGUACUCCUCCAAGCCUCUCUUUCCUGCACAAUCUAAUCAUCUAUAAGUGCGAAUGCAAUCCUUUCUAAACUUUCAACCAGAUGAUUUUUUGGGCCAUGGCUUGAAUAAUCCCACAUUGCAGACAUUGUCCCAUUAUAAUCCUCCUUUUAACCCUUUUAGGGUUGGAAUUGGAUUGGUGGUCCCAUGACCUGACUUAGUUUCGACCAGACUAGAUCUAACCCAAUCUAUUUUUUUUAAUUAUUUAUAUUUAGAUAUUCAUAUCUCUCUGAUUAUUUUGAUGAAUUUUUAUUUAUAAUAUCUUGAAGUGCA
rnacentral:lncRNA from 1 species